UCUUGCCAGCACUCCCCAAAAUCAAACCAGACUGUCGAUACCUGGAUGGAAUAUGAACAGGAUGUUGGAAAGACACAUUCCAGCAAUGGUUUCCUGAGAUUCACAAUGUCUCCAAUCCAUUAAUGGGGUCUGGAUUGGUCUCACCUGCUUUUAGUUCUUUCAAAUUUAGUCUAGGCCUGCCCUUGACUGAGAGAAGCUUGGUCUGGGAGCCCUUCAUCCUGGAGAACUUCACGUCCCUUAAUUUUGGAAGGCUGAAGUGUUGUCUGAACUCAACAUAAAAGCAUCAGUGGCAGCCACCAGCCUUUGUAUUAGUGAGAUGAUUUUUCUCCACAUCUGUGCCUGCCUGGAGAUCUCUCCACCCAAGUGGGUUUUGUGCAGCUUUAGAAGAUGCUUGGUCAGCCAGAAAUAUGAGAACAAUCAACCAUAGCUCAGAAAAUGUGGAAUUGUGACAGAAAUUUCUACCAUGAACCCUCUCUGCACCAGCAGUCACUGUGUUGAUGACAUGUUGCCACAAUAAGAAGACUUGCACGUCUGGAAGUGGAGUUAUCUACAACCCUGCUGCCUUAAAUCUGCUCCAUAAUAGCCCGUGGUGGCUUUUGCAUUUCUUCUUAUAUAAAAAAUCUCUGCAUUGCUCCUGCUCCAGGACCUAAAAUCACAACUGUGAAAUCAGGCCCAAUUCCCACGAGGGAUGGGAGGAAGUGCUGGCACGGGCUCCUGCAGAAUGCCAGUGCCCCUUUCCCCCACAGCACUGAGGGCAAGGCCAGGUCCCCAGUGAGAUGAAGGGA